AGGACGAACGCUGGCGGCGUGCUUAACACAUGCAAGUCGAGCGGAAAGGCCCUUUCGGGGGUACUCGAGCGGCGAACGGGUGAGUAACACGUGAGUAACCUGCCUCUGGCUUUGGGAUAACCCUCGGAAACGUGGGCUAAUACUGAAUAUUCAUCCUUGCGGGCAUCUGUGGGGGUGGAAAGUUUUUCGGCUAGGGAUGGGCUCGCGGCCUAUCAGCUUGUUGGUGGGGUAAUGGCCUACCAAGGCGGCGACGGGUAGCCGGCCUGAGAGGGCGACCGGCCACACUGGGACUGAGACACGGCCCAGACUCCUACGGGAGGCAGCAGUGGGGAAUAUUGCACAAUGGGCGGAAGCCUGAUGCAGCGACGCCGCGUGAGGGAUGACGGCCUUCGGGUUGUAAACCUCUUUCGACAGGGACGAAGCGAGAGUGACGGUACCUGGAGAAGAAGCACCGGCCAACUACGUGCCAGCAGUCGC
rnacentral:rRNA from 1 species